rnacentral:rRNA from 1 species
GGGUUGUGAGGUUAAGCGACUAAGCGUACACGGUGGAUGCCCUGGCAGUCAGAGGCGAUGAAGGGCGUGCUAAUCUGCGAUAAGCGCCGGUAAGGUGAUAUGAACCGUUAUAACCGGCGAUACCCGAAUGGGGAAACCCAGUGUGAUUCGUCACACUAUCAUUAACUGAAUCCAUAGGUUAAUGAGGCGAACCGGGGGAACUGAAACAUCUAAGUACCCCGAGGAAAAGAAAUCAACCGAGAUUCCCCCAGUAGCGGCGAGCGAACGGGGAGGAGCCCAGAGCCUGAAUCAGCAUGUGUGUUAGUGGAAGCGUCUGGAAAGGCGCGCGAUACAGGGUGACAGCCCCGUACACAAAAGCGCAUGUGCUGUGAGCUCGAUGAGUAGGGCGGGACACGUGGUAUCCUGUCUGAAUAUGGGGGGACCAUCCUCCAAGGCUAAAUACUCCUGACUGACCGAUAGUGAACCAGUACCGUGAGGGAAAGGCGAAAAGAACCCCGGCGAGGGGAGUGAAAAAGAACCUGAAACCGUGUACGUACAAGCAGUGGGAGCACCCUUUGGGUGUGACUGCGUACCUUUUGUAUAAUGGGUCAG